AAUACCCGCUCAAACAUGACCCGACCCGAACCGACCCGACCCGAACAAGGAAUUUUCGCAUUGGGUCGGGUUGGCCUUAACUUGUUUGGGUAACAGUAUAAACAAGGCUUAAGCUUGUUUUGGAUCUACCCGAACCCGUCCGAAACAAGCCCACCCAAAACAAACAAGAGCCAUUUGUUCUUCUUGCUCCAAGCCUGCCCCAAACCUUGUUUAUCGUGAUAGUGUGACGCGAUCUGUCAUCUUCUUCCAGAGCUCCGGAUCUGCAACCGAGUAGUGCGACGUAAAGGCAACUGGCGGCGACGAUCGGCGUCUUCGCCGCCGGCGCCACCCUGAUUGCGGCUGGCAUCACCAAGUCGGCGAAGUAGGGUUCUGCAGUGUUCCAGAAAUAUUCUCAUGGGUUCGUGACCAGAAGUUCUCUGUUCAACGAAGGUAAAUCUGCGAGGAAGGGAGCGAAGGAAGAAGAGAGAGGUCAGUCGAAUCGAACGUGUGCCUUGAGAUUUUGCGUUAAAAUCUCCGCCUCCGGCUUCUCCUCCCCUGUAUCGGAUCGUUUGCGGUUCUGGGUUGGUCUCGGCUUCGGCUCCCCUCAUCUGGGUUCAGGCGCUCGACCGGCGUUCAGUCUUCGGUCCGGGUGAUGGAAGUGCCAUCCUUUGUUGAAAGUCCUGUUCUUACCUUGCUGGCAUUUGCUUUUCUCUUUUCCCUCUUUGUUGCGUGAUGAAUGGAAUUAAAAGGUGUGUGAUUGUAUCGAGAGUUUUCUCAGUUCAAUUUUUUGUGUA